GACGAACGCUGGCGGCGUGCCUAAUACAUGCAAGUAGGACGCAGUUGCGAACGGGUGAGUAACGCGUAGGUAACUACCUAUUAGAGGGGGAUAACUAUUGGAAACGAUAGCUAAUACCGCAUACUAGUAGCUCGACCUUCGUUGUAUUAGCUAGUAGGUAGGGUAAUGGCCUACCUAGGCAACGAUACAUAGCCGACCGGGGAGGGUGGUCGGCAAAGCUGGGACUGAGACACGGACCAGACUCCUACGGGAGGCAGCAGUAGGGAAUCUUCGGCAAUGGGGGGAAGCCUGACCGAGCAACGCGGAGAGAGUGAAGAAGGUUUUCGGAUCGUAAAGCUCUGUUGUUAAGGAAGCGGUACGUAACCAGAAAGGGACGGCUAACUACGUGCCAGCAGCCGCGGUAAUAC
rnacentral:rRNA from 1 species